rnacentral:rRNA from 1 species
CUGAGGCGUGACGACGAGGCACUACGGUGCUGAAGCAACAAAUGCCCUGCUUCCAGGAAAAGCCUCUAAGCAUCAGGUAACAUCAAAUCGUACCCCAAACCGACACAGGUGGUCAGGUAGAGAAUACCAAGGCGCUUGAGAGAACUCGGGUGAAGGAACUAGGCAAAAUGGUGCCGUAACUUCGGGAGAAGGCACGCUGACACGUAGGUGAAGUGAUUUACUCAUGGAGCUGAAGUCAGUCGAAGAUACCAGCUGGCUGCAACUGUUUAUUAAAAACACAGCACUGUGCAAACACGAAAGUGGACGUAUACGGUGUGACGCCUGCCCGGUGCCGGAAGGUUAAUUGAUGGGGUCAGCGCAAGCGAAGCUCCUGAUCGAAGCCCCGGUAAACGGCGGCCGUAACUAUAACGGUCCUAAGGUAGCGAAAUUCCUUGUCGGGUAAGUUCCGACCUGCACGAAUGGCGUAAUGAUGGCCAGGCUGUCUCCACCCGAGACUCAGUGAAAUUGAACUCGCUGUGAAGAUGCAGUGUACCCGCGGCAAGACGGAAAGACCCCGUGAACCUUUACUAUAGCUUGACACUGAACAUUGAGCCUUGAUGUGUAGGAUAGGUGGGAGGCUUUGAAGCGUGGACGCCAGUCUGCGUGGAGCCGACCUUGAAAUACCACCCUUUAAUGUUUGAUGUUCUAACGUGGACCCGUAAUCCGGGUUGCGGACAGUGUCUGGUGGGUAGUUUGACUGGGGCGGUCUCCUCCUAAAGAGUAACGGAGGAGCACGAAGGUUGGCUAAUCCUGGUCGGACAUCAGGAGGUUAGUGCAAUGGCAUAAGCCAGCUUGACUGCGAGCGUGACGGCGCGAGCAGGUGCGAAAGCAGGUCAUAGUGAUCCGGUGGUUCUGAAUGGAAGGGCCAUCGCUCAACGGAUAAAAGGUACUCCGGGGAUAACAGGCUGAUACCGCCCAAGAGUUCAUAUCGACGGCGGUGUUUGGCACCUCGAUGUCGGCUCAUCACAUCCUGGGGCUGAAGUAGGUCCCAAGGGUAUGGCUGUUCGCCAUUUAAAGUGGUACGCGAGCUGGGUUUAGAACGUCGUGAGACAGUUCGGUCCCUAUCUGCCGUGGGCGCUGGAGAACUGAGGGGGGCUGCUCCUAGUACGAGAGGACCGGAGUGGACGCAUCACUGGUGUUCGGGUUGUCAUGCCAAUGGCACUGCCCGGUAGCUAAAUGCGGAAGAGAUAAGUGCUGAAAGCAUCUAAGCACGAAACUUGCCCCGAGAUGAGUUCUCCCUGAGACUUUAGGUCUCCUGAAGGAACGUUGAAGACGACGACGUUGAUAGGCCGGGUGUGUAAGCGCAGCGAUGCGUUGAGCUAACCGGUACUAAUGAACCGUGAGGCUUAACCUUACAACGCCGAAG